CGGGGACAACACAGGCUCCCCGCCAGACGGGCUUCCCGUCCAAGCCCUGU
rnacentral:ncRNA from 1 species